rnacentral:tRNA from 8 species
GGUCGAGUAGCUCAGUUGGAUAGAGCAUCUGCCUUCUAAGCAGAGGGUCGUGGGUUCGAAUCCCGCCUCGACUA